ensembl:lncRNA
GAGUCACAUUGCUAACUUGCUCUUGGAGGGUCUGCCUGUCAGGGGUGGGGAUCUGGCCUUCUCGGGCAUUGCAGACUGGAACUGUGCUGAUGUUUUGAUCCGUGUCUGACUCCCCACAUGCCCCUCACUGUGCCCACUCCCUGGGCACUGCCCGUGCCCCGCCCCUCCUUUUCUGGGAUGCCCACGGGCUGCCGUCUGCUCCCUGGUGGCCUCCAUGAGGAUACAUCCAGUAUUAAGUGUGAGAGCAAGAUAAGGAAGAAAAGGGCAUGGUUAUUCCUAAAACUCCUUAGAAACGAAAGAAAGAAAGCUCAUGCUCAUUCCUCUCCAAAGGAUGCUCUGCUGCUGCUGCUGCUGCUGCUAAGUCACUUCAGUCAUGUCCGACUGUGUGCGACCCCACAGACGGCAGCCCACCAGGCUCCCCCGUCCCUGGGAUUCUCCAGGCAAGAACACUGGAGUGGGUUGCCAUUUCCUUCUCCAGUGCACGAAAGUGAAAAUGAAAGUGAAGUCGCUCAGUCGUGUCCGACUCUUAGCGACCCCAUGGACUGCAGCCUACCAGACUCCUCCAUCCAUGGAUUUUCCAGGCAAGAGUACUGGAGUGGGGUGCCAUUGCCUUCUCCAAAGGAUGCUCUAACAACUUUAUUUUAGGUGCUUUUUCAGUUACCUGGCUUUCCCAAGGGUCUCCCCAGCAUCUACCAACAGACAGGCACUGUAUGAAGCCCGGCUUGGCUCUCAGGUGGAUGGACGGUCCCGUGAACACCAGUCCAGGAGAAGAAGAAAAAGGGAUUGUGAUUCUAUAAUGAAGAGAGUCGCAAGUUUCUGUCCUUAAAAGACAGCACCUGGGGACCGUUUCAGAAACGAAAACCUCCGUUCACGCCCUCACUCGCUCUUCUGGUCCCAACAAGGGAACAGAAACUCAUAUGGCAAGAAGUAAAACCAAAUUCUGAAAUGAUUCUUACGAAAUAUCUUUGCCUGCCCGGAGGCAUGAAUGGAUACACCAGCUUAAACUGCGCCUCGAAAACUGCUAUCUCCACUUCCUACUCCUCCUCUCUGCCGCCUCGCUCUCCGCCUCUUCCUCCAUGACUUUAUUUCAAAUACUGUUUCCUCUUUAAAGCUUGCUUGUUAAAUCAACUGUAUGCUAAUAAAAAUUAUUUUUAAAUUUUUUUAAAAAA